UCCCAGGUGAUUCAGUGGUAAAGAAUCUGCCUACCAUUGCAGAAGACACAGGUUCGACCCCUGGCUUGGGAA
rnacentral:tRNA from 1 species